GACGAACGCUGGCGGCGUGCCUAAUACAUGCAAGUCGAACGCAGUGGGUACGGGGGAGUAACCCGUGGGUAACCUCCCGUCAGAGGGGAUAACACGUGGAAACAGGUGCUAAACCGAUACUGAUGGAUGGACCCGCGGUGGAUUAGCUAGUUGGUGAGGUAACGGCUCACCAAGGCCACGAUGCAGAGUCGGCCUGAGAGGCUGAGCGGCUAAACUGCGACUGAGAGACGGCCAAGCGUCCCAGGGGAGGACGCAGGGGGGAAGCUUCGGCAAUGGACGAAAGGCUGAACGAGCAACGCCGCGUGAGUGAAGAAGGUUUUCGGAUUGUAAAAUUCUAUUGUUAGAGAAGCGGUAGGUAACGAGAAAGCCCCGGCUAACUACGUGCCAGCCGCCGCGGUAAUAC
rnacentral:rRNA from 1 species